rnacentral:rRNA from 1 species
AGUGAACGCUGGCGGUAUGCCUAACACAUGCAAGUCGAACGUCAGCACAGUCAAAGCUUGCUCUUACGGGUGGCGAGUGGCUGACGGGUGAGGAAUCCACCGGAAUCUCUUUUUUCGUGGGGGAUAACGCAGGGAAACUCACGCUAAUACCGCAUACGACCUACGGGUGAUAUCAGGGGAUCUUAGGCCCUUGCGCGAUCUAAUGUCUCGAUGUCGGCUUCGCCCGUUGGCGGGGUAAAGGCCCACCAAGGCUACGAUGCGUAGCUGGUCUGGGGGGAUGAUCAGCCACACUGGAACUGAGACACGGUCCAGACUCUUACGGGAGGCAGCAGUGGGGAAUAUUGGACAAUGGGCGCAAGCCUGAGCCAGCCAGACCGCGUGGGUGAAGAAGGCCUUCGGUUUGUAAAGCCCGUUUGUUCGGAAAGAAAAGCAGCAGGUUAAUACCCCGAUGUUCUGACGGUACCCAAAGAAUAAGCACCGGCUAACUUCGUG